rnacentral:rRNA from 1 species
GAGCUCGAUGAGUAGGGCGGGACACGUGGUAUCCUGUCUGAAUAUGGGGGGACCAUCCUCCAAGGCUAAAUACUCCUGACUGACCGAUAGUGAACCAGUACCGUGAGGGAAAGGCGAAAAGAACCCCGGCGAGGGGAGUGAAAAAGAACCUGAAACCGUGUACGUACAAGCAGUGGGAGCACAGAGCAAUCUGUGUGACUGCGUACCUUUUGUAUAAUGGGUCAGCGACUUAUAUUCUGUAGCAAGGUUAACCGAAUAGGGGAGCCGAAGGGAAACCGAGUCUUAACUGGGCGUUAAGUUGCAGGGUAUAGACCCGAAACCCGGUGAUCUAGCCAUGGGCAGGUUGAAGGUUGGGUAACACUAACUGGAGGACCGAACCGACUAAUGUUGAAAAAUUAGCGGAUGACUUGUGGCUGGGGGUGAAAGGCCAAUCAAACCGGGAGAUAGCUGGUUCUCCCCGAAAGCUAUUUAGGUAGCGCCUCGUGAAUUCAUCUCCGGGGGUAGAGCACUGUUUCGGCAAGGGGGUCAUCCCGACUUACCAACCCGAUGCAAACUGCGAAUACCGGAGAAUGUUAUCACGGGAGACACACGGCGGGUGCUAACGUCCGUCGUGAAGAGGGAAACAACCCAGACCGCCAGCUAAGGUCCCAAAGUCAUGGUUAAGUGGGAAACGAUGUGGGAAGGCCCAGACAGCCAGGAUGUUGGCUUAGAAGCAGCCAUCAUUUAAAGAAAGCGUAAUAGCUCACUGGUCGAGUCGGCCUGCGCGGAAGAUGUAACGGGGCUAAACCAUGCACCGAAGCUGCGGCAGCGACACUGUGUGUUGUUGGGUAGGGGAGCGU